rnacentral:rRNA from 1 species
UACGAAGGGGGCUAGCGUUGCUCGGAAUCACUGGGCGUAAAGCGCACGUAGGCGGCUUUUUAAGUCAGAGGUGAAAUCCUGGAGCUCAACUCCAGAACUGCCUUUGAUACUGGAGAGCUUGAGUCCGGGAGAGGUGAGUGGAACUGCGAGUGUAGAGGUGAAAUUCGUAGAUAUUCGCAAGAACACCAGUGGCGAAGGCGGCUCACUGGCCCGGUACUGACGCUGAGGUGCGAAAGCGUGGGGAGCGAUCCGG